UACGUAGCAGCAAGCGUUGUUCGGAAUUACUGGGCGUAAAGAGUGUGUAGGCGGUGCUCCAAGUCUGGUGUGAAAUCUCCCGGCUUAACUGGGAGGGUGCAUUAGAAACUGGAAUGCUAGAGGAUGGGAGAGGUAAGCGGAAUUCCUGGUGUAGCGGUAGUAAGUGAAAGCUGGUCGAUGAACGUAAUUACUCAAGGGGA
rnacentral:rRNA from 1 species